rnacentral:tRNA from 2 species
GCCGACGUAGCUCAGCUGGUAGAGCAGCUGAUUUGUAAUCAGCGGGUCGGAGGUUCAAGUCCUCUCGUCGGCU